rnacentral:rRNA from 1 species
UACAGGGGGUGCAAGCGUUGUUCGGAAUCACUGGGCGUAAAGAGUUCGUAGGCGGACCAAUUAGUAUAGGGUUAAAUCCCGGGGCCUAACCCCGGACCUGCUCUGUAAACGGUUGGUCUAGAGUAUUGGAGAGGAUAGCGGAAUACCUGGUGUAGAGGUGAAAUUCGUAGAUAUCAGGUGGAACACCAGAGGCGAAGGCGGCUAUCUGGCCAAGCACUGACGCUAAAGAACGAAAGCAUGGGGAGCAAACAGG